rnacentral:rRNA from 1 species
AUGGCAAAAUUCUGGUGGAGUGGAUCCCUUGACCGUCGAUCUCUGCAUUGGGUGGCGUGGGAUAAACUUGCCUCUCCGAAAGCUCGAGGGGGUAUGGGUUUUUGCGACAUGAAGUUGUUCAACCUGGCGCUGCUCGGGAAACAUGGCUGGAGGCUCAUUACUAACCUGGAUUCAUUAUGCGCCAGGGUUAUAAAGGGCCGAUAUUUUCCCGAUGGGGAUUUCCUGGAGGCCACGGUGCCGAAGACGUCGUCUACCAUUUGGCGAGCGAUCGUAGCUGUCAGAAAGGCGCUCAACACUGGUCUGAUUAAGAGGGUGGGAGAUGGGACUACUAUCUCCAUUUGUCAUGAUAGCUAG